GUUUGGAUUAGGAUUGCUUAUUGAAGCAUCACUGUUUCUUGGACUCAUCUUUAUCCCUAAGAUGAUUUGUUUAUACCUUGAUCCUCAAGGAGAAAAAGUUUUCUCUCAAAGUGGAGCUACAGCUGCUCCAACUAAUUCUCAUGCACUGACAAACAACAGUGUUGAUCAGAAGGAACCAUCUGAAAAGAUAAUUUUAAAUUUACGAAAAAGAGUCAAAGAAUUAGAAGGACAACUGAAUCUGACUAAAUGAAAGAAAAGAGUCAUGUUCCGACACUGUUUUAUUAAAGAAAAUACUAUUGCUAUUUGUAAAGUAAUCAACACAACAUGCUCAUAGUAGACUAACAUCCCAGUUGAAUGUUUGUAAAUUUAAAUACCAUUUUGUUUUAUUUGUAUUAUUCCUGGCCUCAGACUGAGUGGCCCUACCACA
rnacentral:lncRNA from 1 species